UACAGAGGUCUCAAGCGUUGUUCGGAUUUAUUGGGCGUAAAGGGUGCGUAGGCGGCAGAUCAAGUUAGAUGCGAAAUACCCGGGCUUAACUCGGGAACUGCAUUUAAUACUGCUCUGCUCGAGUAUUAGAGAAGAAGCUGGAAUUUACGGUGUAGCAGUGAAAUGCGUAGAUAUCGUAAAGAACGUCAGUGGCGAAAGCGAGCUUCUAGAUAAUUACUGACGCUGAGGCACGAAAGCUAGGGGAGCAAACGGG
rnacentral:rRNA from 1 species